rnacentral:rRNA from 1 species
GUAGGUGAACCUGCGGAAGGAUCAUUACCGA